GGGGUUUUGGGUGAAAUGGGUUUUCACGGGGAUAGAGAAAGGAAGUGAGAUUGGAUUUCUUUGGGUUUGGGUUUUCAUUAACCGACAAGGGAAAGAAACGGAUCCAACUUUGAUUUCCUAAUCGGGAACACUCUUUGAGGAUGGGACUUGCAUAUAUUAUAGCUGUUGUCUCCCCAUUUGACGAGUAUGCUAAUGAUCUACUUUAUUUGGAGCCAGGAUCACGCCUUCCCAGCCAGGCCAAGAUAUCGAAGGAAUGCCAACUCUUCUCUGGAUAGCAUACAGAGGAAAACCUCACAUGAAAGUGAGAAGGCUGAUUUGACAAAUCAAAGAUGACCAAAGAUGACCUUAUGUUCUUUUGUUUCAUGUCUGCGUAUUAGUGUGGAAACCUGCCCGUAACAUUUUUACAUGCUGCAAAUAUGACUUCCUUGCUACCUUCCACCCUAGGAUGUUCAGGGAACUACAAUGCAUACUUUGUUCAUGAUACUAAACAUGAUGAAGUCUUGCAGGCUUACUGCUUUGGAAGAAUUGAUCUUUUUUCCUUCUCUAGAAAAUUAUAUCUACAUAUCCUGGUAGUGGGGAUGUUGACACAUCCACUGUGGUGAAGGAUGACGAGGAUGGCUGCAUUUGUGGAGCUUCAGGUUGUUUAUUUAAUAUUGCUAACUUGUAAAUUUUGUGAUGUGAUGGAACAACUUCUGCUAAGCUUACAUAUCCAUUCACAUUAUAUUUUUGGAUAGGUUUUAAAGCUGGUGUAACUUGUGUAAACAUUUUCCAUGAGUAGUGUGCUCUUCCCAUGCUUCUGUGCGUACAAAUGCAGUUGUAUGUUCUAAUGAAAAGAAAUUUUAGUGUUUCUGCUUUUUACAUAACCCCUCUGUAAUUUUUACAAUUCCUGUUAUUGAUAUAGUCGAAGUAAGAAAAAAUCGACCUUAAUUGGUGAUUUAUAUAUGAGGCAAUAUGGAACCUAUGGGUGAAAUGAAGGGCAUAAGGCAAUGUUUUAUAUUUACCAUACCCUGCUAGCACUCGAGUCAGAUUUUCAGUCAUUCUUCUAUACGGUGUCAACCUAUUGCGCAACUACUUUUUGUUGUAUCUCUUUUGAAAAAAUACAGUGGGAAGCUUAGAUGGGCCAACGCAGAAAGGGGUACUACGAGGCAAAUUGAGGAAAUUAAAGGAGCAUAUA